rnacentral:rRNA from 1 species
CUAGUUGGAGGGGUAACGGCCCACCAAGGCUACGAUCAGUAGGGGUUCUGAGAGGAAGGUCCCCACAUUGGAACUGAGACACGGUCCAAACUCCUACGGGAGGCAGCAGUGAGGAAUAUUGGUCAAUGGGCGAGAGCCUGAACCAGCCAAGUAGCGUGCAGGAUGACGGCCCUAUGGGUUGUAAACUGCUUUUAUGUGGGAAUAAAGUGCGUGACGUGUCAUGCAUUGCAGGUACCACAUGAAUAAGGACCGGCUAAUUCCGUGCCAGCAGCCGCGGUAAAU